CUUCAAUAGCAUCAAAUAGGCAAUUCCAGCUUUUAGUUUAUGCGUGCAGGGGAUGAUGGGAAGUAAGGUAUCAUAGUGCUGAUUAUGCUGAAAAAUUUCAAUAAAAACUACCAAAGCAACCAAAAUAUUUCAAUAUUUACAAGUAUAAGCUAUCACUCCAUAUUUACACAGCCACCAUUUUUAUUUUUUCAGCAUAAUCAGCAAUGUGAUACCUUACUUCCCAUUGUCCCUGCACGCAUAAACUAAAAGCUGGAAUUGCCUAUUGUCCUGGUCUAAACUUUCAAUGUCCAAGUUCUAGUUUACAGCACCGUCCAUUGAAAUUCUUUUUGGAGUUGUAGGCAAUGUUCCACUUUCAACAGUUUCUC